rnacentral:rRNA from 1 species
CCUACGGGUGGCAGCAGUGGGGAAUAUUGGGCAAUGGGCGCAAGCCUGACCCAGCAACGCCGCGUGAAGGAAGCAGGCUUUCGGGUUGUAAACUUCUUUUAAGAGGGAAGAGUAGAAGACGGUACCUCUUGAAUAAGCCACGGCUAACUACGUGCCAGCAGCCGCGUUAAUACGUAGGUGGCAAGUGUUGUCCGGAUUUCCUGGGUGGAAAGGGCGUGUAGCCGGGCCGGGAAGUCAGAUGUGAAAUCGCAAGGCUCAACCUUGGAACUGCAGUUGAAACUGUUGGUCUUGAGUAUCGGAGAGGCAGGCGGAAUUCCUAGUGUAGCGGUGAAAUGCGUAGAUAUGAGGAGGAACACCAGUGGCGAAGGCAGCCUGCUGAACGACAACUGACGGUGAGGCGCGAAAGCGUGGGGAGCAAACAGGAUUAGAUACCCCAGUAGUC